UGAGGAAUCUUCCGCAAUGGGCGAAAGCCUGACGGAGCGACACCGCGUGGAGGAUGAAGCCUUUAUUGGCGUAAACUCCUUUUCUCUGGGAAGAUAUGACGGUACCAGAGGAAUAAGGGACGGCUAACUACGUGCCAGCAGCCGCGGUAAUACGUAGGUCCCGAGCGUUAUCCGGAAUUACUGGGCGUAAAGAGUUCGUAGGCGGAUCCUUAAGUUCGGCAUGAAAGGCCGGGGCUCAACCCCGCGCUCGUGUCGGAUACUGGGGAUCUGGAAUCGGGGAGAGGUUGGCAGAAUGGUACGAGUAGGGGUGCAAUCCGUUGAUACGUACCGGAAUACCGAAAGCGAAGGCAGCCAACUGGAACCGCAUUGACGCUGAGGAACGAAAGCGUGGGGAGCGAAA
rnacentral:rRNA from 1 species